AACGAACGCUGGCGGCAGGCUUAACACAUGCAAGUCGAGCGCCCCGCAAGGGGAGCGGCAGACGGGUGAGUAACGCGUGGGAAUCUACCCAUCACUACGGAACAACUCCGGGAAACUGGAGCUAAUACCGUAUACGUCCUUCGGGAGAAAGAUUUAUCGGUGAUGGAUGAGCCCGCGUGGGAUUAGCUAGUUGGUGGGGUAAUGGCCUACCAAGGCGACGAUCCAUAGCUGGUCUGAGAGGAUGAUCAGCCACACUGGGACUGAGACACGGCCCAGACUCCUACGGGAGGCAGCAGUGGGGAAUAUUGGACAAUGGGCGAAAGCCUGAUCCAGCCAUGCCGCGUGAGUGAUGACGGCCCUAGGGUUGUAAAGCUCUUUCGCAGGUGAAGAUAAUGACGGUAACCUGAGAAGAAGCCCCGGCUAACUUCGUGCCAGCCGCCGCAGUAACAC
rnacentral:rRNA from 1 species